AAAAGGUUUGGAAUUUUCGCUCAAACCUAAAAUAAAAAAGCAAGCGUCCGAUCUAAAGGGUAUUGAAUGCACAUCGAAUGUUUUCCCGGUUUCCAAGAUACAACUUUUUUUAAAUCAGGAAAGCUUAAGUUUUCGCUCCAAAAACCUUCGAUAAAAUUAUGUUUCUUGCGUUUAAAAUACAUCGCAAAAAGACACAAAAAAUCAGCAUGUUUUGGCAAAGAAAAACGGCAAAAAUUCGAUUUGAUGAGUGUGAUUUUUUGCAGUUUUGGCCCAAGAUGAUAACGAAUCAGAUGAUCCCACCUCAGAGGAACUGUGCCUAAACCGACCGGCCGACGAGUACUUCCGACUAUCAACUGAAGGAGACUGUCGGGACGUUGUAAGGUGUGAUUUUAAUAGUGAUAAUAACGGCGUGACCAGACUGGCAUCAGUUCGAUGUCCAGUCGGUUUGGCUUUCGACGUCGAUAGACAGACCUGCGACUGGAAAACAAAUGUUAAAAAUUGCGAUAAGCUCGAGAGUAAGUCGAUACGGAAGGAAUGGUGACCAUGAACGAAUGAAUGAAGCGCUUAGCGCCUUUCUGCGUCAGUAUCAGUUCCACCCAGUUGUUCCUGGUCACUUUUCCUUGGUUCAAGCAUUAAUAUUAAGGAAGCAUUUUAACGUACAGGUGUACAAAGUCCGGUUUAAAA